rnacentral:lncRNA from 1 species
GAUUCAAGCUUUCGGAUUCAUCAUUACUUAACCUGGGUCUCAAAAACCCAGAGUACUCAAAUAAAGUAGUUACAGGAGCUUGUAAGAACCUAACUACAGGAAACGAAGAAGACGACGUUGAAGACGAAUCAUUCAACGAAACCGGAUACGAAUUGCUGACAGGGUUGAAUUAUGAUGACGAAUUGCUGACGUAAGCACCCGAAUUCGUUGUAGCAGCUGUUUAUGAAUAAAAUAAACCCUAACCUUGCGAAAUUCACACAAUCAAACACCUUAUUUCUUGGUUCACACGUUAAUCGAUGAUCUUCGAGCUGGAUACACUGUAAAUGGGUCGAAAUAGCGAUGAAAUUUACAGAUAAAAAAGUCAGAGAGUUGAAUUAUGAAGAGGAAUUGGUGACGAGCUGGAUAGAUUGCAAAUCGGUGGAAAUAAGGAUGAAAUUACAGAAGAGGGUUGAAAUUUGA